GCCCGGGGCUGGACUCCUGUGGCUGGCUACUUGCUGGGCAAACAUUGAUCAUGGUGGGCUUCGUGGCCAGCUACAGACGUGUAGGUAGGAUGUAAGGCCAAGGGCUUGCCUACACUCAGACCUCCCAGGCUCAGAUCCAGUCUGGCACAUUCAAGGGGUGAAAUUCCAACCUUGCCAACUGAACCUUAGAGCCCCAAGGCUCCCCAGUCUAAGCUGGUGUCUCAAAGACCUCGUGGCCCAGUAUCUCCAGGCUACAGGUAAGAUGGGACUGACUCUCUCUACCUAGAAGCCCCUGGAAAGAAGGAUCUUAUUUAUGGGGAGGGGGCAUCCCUGAAACUAACACUAGCACUGAGUAAGCACCUACUGCAUACAUGCAGCUUCACCUUAUGUGCAUGGUGCUAAGUAGGGGCUGUGUCAUGGACCCAGACUGGCUACUUUGUCACCCUUUUCUAGACUCUUCCUCAUAUGUCUUGACCCAGAACCCCUCAGGGACUCCCACCCUUGCUCCCACCCAAUGUUGGGAGCUCAGCCUCCAACACACAUUAACCCCCAGGACUCAGAGACCCAGGAGAACAUUCCCAGCCUGAGCCCUUGUAAAAGGUGCAUCACUGGACUCUAGAGGUCCAUCUGCAUCCAUGGGACACUGAAGGGAUUGUAUAAACGGGAGGCUGGCUGCCUCUGGCUGAGGAUGGAAGUACCACAUACAGGUGUGGUUUAGGGUAGGUACCCAAGAAAGGCCAGCAUCUGUGAACCAUAGCUACUAGGUCUCUAGGGCUACCUGGAACAACUACACUCUUGGGUUAUAUCCAGAUGCUCUGCCCAGCCUCUCUUCAAUCUCUGCCUGUACUCUCUUCUCCUGUGCUGUCCCAUCUACCAAGUCCUAGAGCCUCCUCCCUAGCUGUCUACAUUUGCCCUACUCUCAGGCAAUAACAGCCCUGACCCCAGGUGCAGACACAAAGACAAGGGGAGUGUGUGUGGCAGCCCAUACACACAAAUGCACAGGUAGCAGAGGGGUCCCAGGACUGAAUGCAAGUUGCUCUGACUCGUACGAGACAGCAUGGGGCCCUGACUGCAGUCUGGCAGGUGAGGCUGCCUUCGACCAUGGCCACAUCGAAUCCCUGGAUUCAUCUAGGUGGGUCCAAAGCUAUACUUGGGGUCUGCCUCCAAGGGACAGGGACAAGUGUGAGCACAGUGCCCAGGCUGGCCACCACCUCUGAGCACAAAAAUCUCAGGUACACAGGUCCCCUGUCAUAACUGCAAGGUUUCCAUGGUGGCAGAAACAGAACCUUUGCCACUGAGCCCUGAGUGACACUGCAUGUGAUACAAAUGUCCCGGGGCCAUCUCAAUCUUCUCCCAUCUCCUUCUUGAUGGCUAGGGCAGAGAGAGAGCCCAGUUUAGCCUUCUGGGCGCACCUGGAUAUGCUUGGCCAUCCUAGAGUCCCCUAAAGAGACAGGCAGGAGUUGAGACUACCUAGCCAAGACCCAGCAUAUACAGACCUCCAGGCCUGCAUGGCUACAUGGACCCAUAGCAGUAUCCAGGAGGGCUGGGGUAGGUGGCCCUGAGUUCUAUAAACAACCAAAAUGUUGCACUGACCUGAGCUGGACGUGGCCAUUGAGUUCUAAGAGUCACCCAGGGAAGUUGUCAAGAAGAAGCCGCUACCUGUGUGUGAGGCCAUAGGGGGUCUUCUGAUACACAUGCCAGGUGCUUACUUUCCUGGGGGGUCCUUAGGAGCAUCCAGGUUCUGCAAGACAUAAGGAAAUCAAAACACAGGUGUCAACUUGGCAGGUCAUGUGGCUCGGAUGCAGAGAAGGGUCGGGGAUAGUGUGGCCUUCCCUUCCUCAGUCACUCCCAGAGCCAUAUACUAUCUACCGGGACCUUGGCACCUGGAGUUUUGAGUCACAAGAGACUGGGAACACUGAAUGCCAUGCCUGGCUUUAACCAGUUCUGACCUGCCAGGACCCACAUCCUAAACCAACUCCCUGCCAUGGCUCCUAGGCAGCCCAGAGUCUUAGAGUCCCUCUGUGACAAGAGGAAGGAAGGGAUCAUAGGGCUUGGUUGCUGGUGCCUGGUAAGACCCUCCCUUCCCUCCAGCCCCAUUAGGGCACCCAUAGUUCCCUGUGGCCAGAAUGUCCUUCUGCUACCAUAGAUCACCCCUGCCUGUACUGCCUCAGACUAGGGGGUCCCCCCACCUCACCUCACAAUGCCUGCACUGACCCUAUAGACCUGAGAACGUUGAGGCAAGAGUGUCCUUCAACUAGCAUACACACAUCCUGGGCCUGGCAGGGCCUGCCACCCAUCAGCAUCCCAUCACCUGCCUUACUCUGGGAACAGGACUGGAUAACUGAGGUUUAUGAAGUACAAACAGGACCCUGGGUCACUACCAAGGAGUAAGUUCCGUAGUCAUUAAGAGCCAAGAAGGGGGACAAGCCAAGACUGACAGCAGGAAACCAAAGCCAGGAGUCGGCCCUGGCCAGAAUGACUCCCAGACUUCUCACCCUCCUCCCUAUCUGCCUUGGGUGCUUUGGCCCUGGGAAGAACUACCUGCUUCUUUCCUGCCCUCUUGCGCCCACUGUGCUGCCGGCAUCCACGUGUCCAUGAACCCCGGUUGUAAGAAGACUCGGGAUAUCCUCUUAGAAUUAGGGCCUUCUCCAGAACUAGUCGCUAUAGGACGAGGGGCUACUCGCUCACGGACAAGCCAAAAGCAACAAGGUCUGUCACGUCACUGCUUAUAGCAUUAUCUCCAGAGAGUGAUUUUUUUUUUCUUCAAACUCGAGACCUUGAGACCAGAGGGACUUGCUGAGGGCUCCGCCUUUGAAUGUGCUGGACCCUGAGACCCACCAGGCACAGCUUGCCUCUCUCCAUCUCCAGAAACUGUAGUAUCUGCAGGCAAAACUGGGACCUGGAUGCUGUUCUUCAUCCACACAGGGCUAGAAAGCUUCCCAGAGAAGAUAGGGGACAGGAGGGAUGAGCCUGGGGCUCUAAGUCCAAGUUUCUGAUCGUAUUUCUUAAGAGACUGUCCUGUGGCCACACCUUUCCUUACCUGACAGCUAGACCUCUUCCAUCUCUCCUUUCUACUUCUGGGCCCACAGUGCACAGAGUCCCCGGUUUAACGAUCUUGGAACAGCUGACUGCUGCUCACAGCUACUGCAGCCUGGCUAACCUAGCCUCACCAGGGGAACAUGGAACUGCCUCCCUAGGAGAGAACCCUCAGCGGCAUUGAAACCCAGUAAAGCCUGACCUGCUUGGCUCCAAGAGAGGCGCUUUCACAAAAAAAGGUGCUGGGGUGCCUACAGAGCCAGCAGAAGAAACC
rnacentral:lncRNA from 1 species